rnacentral:rRNA from 1 species
GCUAAACGCGAAGAACCUUACCUGGGUUUGACAUGCAAGGAAAUCUCGUAGAGAUACGGGGUCCGCAAGGGCUUUGCACAGGUGGUGCAUGGCUGUCGUCAGCUCGUGUCGUGAGAUGUUGGGUUAAGUCCCGCAACGAGCGCAACCCUCGUUCUAUGUUGCCAGCACAUAAUGGUGGGGACUCAUAGGAGACUGCCGGGGUCAACUCGGAGGAAGGUGGGGAUGACGUCAAGUCAUCAUGCCCCUUAUAUCCAGGGCUGCACACAUGCUACAAUGGCCGGUACAAAGGGCUGCGAUACCGCAAGGUGGAGCGAAUCCCAUAAAGCCGGUCUCAGUUCGGAUUGGGGUCUGCAACUCGACCCCAUGAAGUCGGAGUCGCUAGUAAUCGCAGAUCAGCAACGCUGCGGUGAAUACGUUCCCGGGUCUUGUACACACCG